GGCGCUGUAGUGUAGAGGUUAUCACUCGAGAUUCUGAUUUCGAUGUUGUGAUCAAUCAUGCAUUCUCGAAACCCAGGUUCGAGUCCUGGCAGUGCCU